rnacentral:rRNA from 1 species
UACGUAGGCAGCGAGCGUUGUUCGGAAUUACUGGGCGUGAAGAGUGUGUAGGCGGUGCUCCCAGUCUGUUGUGAAAUCUCCCGGCUUAACUGGGAGGGUGCAGCGGAAACUAGAGUGCUAGAGGGUGGGAGAGGUAAGCGGAAUUCCUGGUGUAGCGGUGAAAUGCGUAGAUAUCAGGAGGAACACCUGUGGUGUAGACAGCUUACUGGACCACUUCUGACGCUGAGACACGAAAGCGUGGGUAGCAAACAGG